rnacentral:rRNA from 1 species
ACGAAGGGGGCUAGCGUUGCUCGGAAUUACUGGGCGUAAAGGGCGCGUAGGCGGCUUAGUCAGUCAGGCGUGAAAUUCCUGGGCUUAACCUGGGGGCUGCGUUUGAGACGGCUAGGCUAGAGGAUAGGAGAGGGUCGUGGAAUUCCCAGUGUAGAGGUGAAAUUCGUAGAUAUUGGGAAGAACACCGGUGGCGAAGGCGGCGACCUGGCCUAUUACUGACGCUGAGGCGCGACAGCGUGGGGAGCAAACAGG